CCUACGGGUGGCUGCAGUAAGGAAUAUUGGUCAAUGGACGCAAGUCUGAACCAGCCAUGCCGCGUGAAGGAUGAAGGCCCUCUGGGUUGUAAACUUCUUUUACCUGGGACGAAAAAUGAGAAUUCUUUCUCACUUGACGGUACCAGAGGAAUAAGCACCGGCUAACUCCGUGCCAGCAGCCGCGGUAAUACGGAGGGUGCAAGCGUUAUCCGGAUUCACUGGGUUUAAAGUGUGCGUAGGAGGGUCUGUAGAAAUCUCCAAGCUUAACUUGGAAACUGCCAUUGAUACUAUAGGUCUUGAAUUAUCUGGAGGUAAGCGGAAUAUGUCAUGUAGCGGUGAAAUGCUUAGAUAUGACAUAGAACACCCAUUGCGAAGGCAGCUUACUACGGAUAUAUUGACACUGAGGCACGAAAGCGUGGGGAUCAAACAGGAUUAGAUACCCGUGUAGUC
rnacentral:rRNA from 1 species